UACGUAGGGGGCAAGCGUUGUCCGGAAUCAUUGGGCGUAAAGCGCGCGUAGGCGGCUCGAUAAGUCUGCUGUGAAAGUCCAGGGCUCAACCCUGGGAUGCCGGUGGAUACUGUCGAGCUCGAGUCCGGAAGAGGCGAGUGGAAUUCCUGGUGUAGCGGUGAAAUGCGCAGAUAUCAGGAGGAACACCGAUGGCGAAGGCAGCUCGCUGGGACGUGACUGACGCUGAGACGCGAAAGCGUGGGGAGCAAACAGG
rnacentral:rRNA from 1 species